UGCCAGCAGCCGCGGUAAUACGAAGGUCCCGAGCGUUAUUCGGAAUCACUGGGCGUAAAGAGUACGUAGGCGGUCAGGUAAGUCAGGUGUGAAAUCCCGGAGCUCAACUCCGGAACUGCAUCCGAUACUGCUUGACUUGAGUAAUGGAGAGGCAGGUGGAAUUCUUGGUGUAGCAGUGAAAUGCGUGGAUAUCAAGAGGAAGACCAAUGGCGAAGGCAGCCUGCUGGACAUUUACUGACGCUGAGGUACGAAGGCUAGGGUAGCGAAAGGGAUUAGAUA
rnacentral:rRNA from 1 species